AGAAAAUGGAAGGCCUGUUUCGCCGACCAGGUUAGACAGAGCUGGGUCACACUUCUGCUGCACCUGCAAGACCCGAACCCCAGGGUUUCAGUGGAAUGCAGAGCUACGUUUCACCUCUGUGUCCCGUUUUUGGGACUGAAGAGGCUCCAAACUGCCGUGAAUCAACACCUUGAUGGCACAGCCGAGCUGAAGCCUGAAGAGCUCCAGGUGGACAUUUGCAGACACCUUGCCAAAGAGAAUGCCGAGCUGCUGGAGAACUUGUACAAAAGCACCAUCAAGUACUUC